rnacentral:rRNA from 1 species
UCCAGACUCCUACGGGAGGCAGUAGUGGGGAAUAUUGCACAAUGGGGGGAACCCUGAUGCAGCGACGCCGCGUGGGUGAAGGAGCACCUCGGUGCGUAAAGCCCUAUCGGCAGGGAAGAAACAGACGGUACCUGACUAAGAAGCCCCGGCUAACUACGUGCCAGCAGCCGCGGUAAUACGUAGGGGGCGAGCGUUAUCCGGAUUCACUGGGGGUAAAGGGAGCGUAGACGGCCAUGCAAGCCAGGGGUGAAAGCCCGGGGGCCACCCCCGGGACUGCCCUUGGAACUGCAUGGCUGGAGUGCGGGAGGGGCAGGCGGAAUUCCUGGUGUAGCGGUGAAAUGCGUAGAUAUCAGGAGGAACACCGGCGGCGAAGGCGGCCUGCUGGACCGCGACUGACGUUGAGGCCCGAAAGCGUGGGGAGCAAACAGGAUUAGAUACCCUCGUACCC